rnacentral:lncRNA from 1 species
CAAGAAGCUCAUAGACUAUUUUGUGGGAGACAGUUGUAUAAGUGGUCUCAUAUUUCUCCGGUCUGUACAGAACAGCUGAAGCUGCCUCCUUUGCUGUAGCCCUGCUUGCCUGAGCCAAGACAGCCAUUUGAGGCUUUCUGUCUGCCAUCCAGCACUGACUUCGCCCUUCUGCCAAGAAAGCAAUGAAGACAAAGGAGGAAUACCUAAAGAAAAAAGUACAUCCAGCUACUCGCAGUCAUUGCAGCUGAGUUUUUAGGCUGGAGAAUGCUUGAAUUGUUCACAUUCUUGACUCUGCUCGGGUGAGCACAGGUGCACUCAGGUGAAGCCACCAUCCUUUUUCUUCACCUGCAGGGCUGAGAGGCCCCACUGACAGGCGGGCAGACAGACCUGCUAUUGUCACCCUGCAUGGGGUGGUAUAUCAAAUGCAUUUUAAGAAGGGCUUGAGGCUUGAGGCUCUUGGGUCUCCUAAGUACAGACUUACGGGGAAGAAAUGAAGAAAUCUUAAAAGGUUAAGCUUUUCCUCUGAGGAAAAAGAACAUUUAGGCAACUGAGUCCAGCCACUUUCUUGGGGACUUCUCGUGGUCAGUCAAAUGCAGACAUAAAUCACUUUACUUCCAGUCUCCAAAAUACAAACCUUGGCUUUCACACUCGUUAAACUCUGGAACUAGUUAGCACAUCAAGUUUCUUCUGGGAUGUCUGUCAAGAAGGAUUAGCAGCCAGUUGAUGGAUGUGGGUUCAGGCUGCAGUGAACUUGUAAUAUCCACUCAGCUCUGGAGAGCUGGCUCUGUGUCCCCUGCUGACCCCUACAGGCUCCUCGGAG